AAUCAGUGAGUGUUUUGUGGCCGGUGGCAGAGUGUGGCGUUAGUUUGCAUGGCAGUAUUGUAUGGAUACGUAGAUGCCAAGUAGCAAUCUUUUUUUAAUAUAAAUUGUCAUUAAUAUUGCAAAUUCAAAACACGAUUCACUUAUUAGUAUCAGAAUUAUAAAUCAAUUGGUUUUUCAGUCCUCUAGACAGUGCUGAGGUUUUAUUUGGGUAAGGUCAGCAGAGGUCACGAUCAGCAGGACCGAUACAUUUUUAUAACACGUCUGAUCUGUCUGCUUGGCAAUCCCAUUUAGUAGCAAUAAAAAAUGUAGGGGCCUCUGGUUAUUCCCAAUAAUAGUGUUUUGCCCGGAAAUGUGCCUCAUCAAAAAAAAUUCUAACAUAAAUUCAAAUGUCUAAACACUGCACAAACUGAUGUUCUACAAUCUGAAAAUGAGCCAACCCUCUCUGCCAAAAUUUAGCAUCCUGACACACCUUGGGGGUUGGUUUGGUUUUCAGCCAGUGAAGUCUGUCUGAUCUGACGUUAUGCUUAUCAACUGUGACUGAGUUUGUCUCUGGUGCACUCCUCCAGGCAGACAUUUGAGGUGAACUGUAUGUGAGAGACACAGUCUUCAUCCAGCUGUGUUUACCUCCUUAUCUCAGUGUAAAUUUCCAGCCUGAUUAGAAGGCAGGAAAAAUUAAAGCAGCUUUAAAGCGAUGUCAGUCUCAAAUUUCACCGGAUAACAAAUUACAUAACAUUGUAUAUUAGCAUAUUAUGAGGAAAAUGUAUAAAUUGCAAGGACUAGCCCUGGUUGAACGUUUGAUUUAAGUCAGGAAAUUUUGGGUUUUGAACCACAGCAUGCAACACUGGGCGAUACACUAUCCGGCUGAUUCCUACUGUGAUUAUUUUGACGGACAUUGUGAUUGUGAUGACACGAGUUUAGGGGGAACGGUAAUUUUGGGAUUUCAUUUUCAUGUUCACUUGAAAAAUGACAAUGAUGUUAUUUGCUGGGGUCUUUGCCCAACUAGUAUGUUCCCUUAUGUCUGGAGAAUAUGAUCUGUAUGCAUCUCUGUAGCACCACAAACCUUCAUUUAUAAUUUCAUUCAUUUAUUGACCUUUUAUUGAAAAAAAAAAAUCUGCUCUUGUGAUUUGAUUAGAUUUAUCUCAGCCAUGUGGUAGAUGUCUUAAUGCCAGCCAACAAGCUGUAUGAAUAGAAUUACAAUACUUCAUCUCUUGAAGUGUAUUUUAAUAAACCAUUUAAAUCCAUGUACUGUUUAUCCUAUUUUACAGUGUAUGGAUGUCAUUCAACCUGGGCAGUGAGCUCACAUGUUCCAUUUACUGUAGCUAGAUGACGGCCAACAUUUAAAGUUUUAGGAAUCAUUAAUAUUUCAUGCUACCUUGUGAAGCUGAAUGAGCUCCACUUCCGCAGCUUGCUGCAAAACACAAAUCUGCAGCAAGCAGUUUCUAUUAUAGAGCGUAAUCAUGGUCAGGCAACUUUUCUUGGUAUUGUUAUAUGUAACUAACAGAAAAAAGAACAGAGUUUAACAAGUAAGAAGUCAGAAUUGGCAUUAAACUACAUUUUUCUUGAAAAGUACAAGAAGGUUUUAUUGAGAUGGAUGCAUCAUUUAUGAAGAAUGGCUGCGGUGCGUUUUAUGUUUUACCACAUCAUCUCCUGCGAGCGCACCUCAGAGCUGCUGCUCCACGAUUCCGAAAAUGAUCUCGAUUUCUGAUCCACAUUUAAUGAUCCCGUUUUGGCUCAGUGCACCCCCGAGCAUGUUCACCUCUUCCCGUUUAUUCCGACUCUCAUUUCUGCUUCCAGCCUCUGGAAAGGCCGAUUGGAAACAAGCAAAUUGUGUCUCUGUUGGCUUUUUGACAACUUCGGAAACGGUCAGACCUGAUCUGCAGCCAAAACAAGAAAACCAAACACAAUGGGAAUUCUCCUACACCUUGACAUGUCUUUGCCUUGCCAAUUGUAGUGAAAAAGACCUGUUUUUGAUACCUGAGGGAGAUUUUCCGUUGGUUUAGUGACAGGCUUUCCUGUGUAAUUAUGUGGAUAUAUAGAGUCUGAGCACAGUAAUUAAGCUGCCAGUCUGAAGUGGCAUACUGAGCUGUUAGGCAUGCUGCAGGAUUUUUCUAUAGUUACCCACCUGCCUCUCCACAUCUAGUCGUGGCUUUUUAAAAAAUGGAAACAGAUGAAUCGCAGCCUUUUCGAUCUAAUAAAACACAUGGAUUUUCCCAAAAUCAUCCCGAGUUUUUAAAAGGACUCAACAGAACUUGUAAACGUGCCUUAAGAUUUGAUCGCUGAUAUAACGCUGUGUUCUUAAAAUUGCUUAGAUGAUCAAUUGUGACGUGUUAACAAUCAGAUGUUGCUGAGCAUUAUGUGAGAGGAUUUGCAUCAGAGCCAAAGUAAGACAUUUUUUAAAAAACACAGAUGCUGAUAAUCGGAAAACGCUGAAUAUCGGCCCUGAUAAUUGACAAGGGCUGAUAAUCAAUUCACCCCUAAUGAAAAUGGGCACUUAUCGUAUAACUUAAAGGACGUAACUUCAAACUUUGAACUGUUCAUACAGUCCAAUGUAAGGGCAUCAUUUUGCAUUAACAGAAAGACACAUUGUAAUAGCUUAGUUUCUCACCCAAAGACAAAAUGCAUACCUGUAAUGUACCUCGUCUUAAAUAGCACUUCCAUCUCUACUAUUAUUAUCAUCUCAGACUGAGAUGUGAGAGAAAGUCUCUACGGUGGAUUACAAGAAUCUGACCCUCUUGAUGAAUCAAAUCCUCGCUCUGGGCACAGUUCAUUCACAGCACACAGAGACAUAAAGCAGUGAUCGUGUGGCUGCAGGGCUGAAUGAUGCCCGGGCAGCACAGGGUUACACUUCACGGCUGACCAGAACAACGCGUUCCCUCAGCCAAUAUUAGCUCUCCAUUCAAGAAGCAGCCCUCCUCAUCGCAAAUAUGCAUCUGACAAAAUGAGCUGCUUCAGCCCCCCUGCAGCCUUCAGUUGGUGCCAUACAUUACAACAUGCUCUGUGCCCACAUCACACACAUUGCUGAGCACCAUGGUGGCGGCCAGGGCCUUGUUUCAGCAGUCACGGGCUACUGCUAUGAUAUUAUUGUCCAGGAGUGCCGGUUGGAGGAGAAUAUCAUGGCCCCUCUGGUAUUUAAUGAUAAUACAGUCUGUGCUCCCUUUCUGUUAUUUCUGUGGAUCUCUGGACAAUGCAACGAAAUGGGUGCAACCAAGUAUGCAAUCACUCGCGCUUCAACUUCAAUCUUUGUUUUUUUUUUGUUUAAAAUAUAACACCAGCGUGAUUUAUAGUUGAAGCUUAAAGCCAUUUCACAGGCGUGUAGUGUGACGGAGGGUGCAAACAGCUGCACCAUGCUAACGUUAAACAAUGGUAGAUGGCUAGCGUUAGCCGAUGUUAUCACAAAGCUCGGUGUCGUCCCCUCCUCCCCAUUAAAACGAGUGGCCGUUAACUGAAACGUCAAACCGAUAAUGACCGUACAGCUGUGAUUUUGAACAAAAAUGUUAUAACGCUGCAGGGGGGUAAAAGGUUUAACGCUAGCUAGAAACAAGUUAGCAACGCUCGCUAGCGUGGAACAAGGGGGUGAGGAGCGUAUGCAGAUUUGUAUUUUGGUGAGCACGCCCCAGAUGUGAGCCGCGCUCGAAAACGCCCCAAAACAUGUGCUUUGGCAUAAUGUUUAGAGCCAUGGUAAAACGACGUAUGGGCUUUGAUCUUAAAUCCCAAUAAGCAUCAGCAGAGGGUGAGGAAACACCGUGGACAGCUUCCAAAACUGCCAAGGGGAUUAAUAAGGCAGACAGACACAUUAAUACUGUCAUUUACAUCUAGGAGUAAAUGUGUGUGUGGGAGCAGGUUAACAUAGGGACAGCAUUCAAACUGCACACACACAGCCGGACAGCCCAGAUUGCGCCCUCACUGGUGAGAGUAUUAACUCGGUCUUCAAAUGAAAUAAAUGACAGGAAGACGUUCUUUGUCCUCAGUCAUGUCAGUCAUACUGAAUCACAGUUCGGCCCUGUUGGGGAAACCUUGCUUUGCUUUAUAUUGAAUUAGCCAUCUCAAUCAUUCAGGGAAAACAAGACUCUUGAUUGAAUUUAUCUAAAAUGUUGUAUAUUACAUCACAAGACUGCUGUUGUUACCUUACUGGAAGAGCGUGAAUGCAUCAGCUGCUUUCAAUAAAACACAGGUUUUAAGAAGAA